UGGGGAAUAUUGCACAAUGGGGGAAACCCUGAUGCAGCGACGCCGCGUGAAGGAAGAAGUAUCUCGGUAUGUAAACUUCUAUCAGCAGGGAAGAAAAUGACGGUACCUGACUAAGAAGCCCCGGCUAACUACGUGCCAGCAGCCGCGGUAAUACGUAGGUGGCAAGCGUUAUCCGGAUUUAUUGGGCGUAAAGGGAACGCAGGCGGUCUUUUAAGUCUGAUGUGAAAGGCGGGGGCUCAACCCCCGGACUGCAUUGGAAACUGUUGAUCUUGAGUACCGGAGAGGUAAGCGGAAUUCCUAGUGUAGCGGUGAAAUGCGUAGAUAUUAGGAGGAACACCAGUGGCGAAGGCGGCUUACUGGACGGUAACUGACGUUGAGGCUCGAAAGCGUGGGGAGCAAACAGGAUUAGAUACC
rnacentral:rRNA from 1 species